rnacentral:rRNA from 1 species
AUGUUGCGCCGCGCCUCCCAGCUCCUCCGCACCAUCCCCACCGCCACCGUGUUCCCCCGCCGCCUCCCGCAACCGCACCGGCACCCGCUUCCAGCCCCACCCGCCCAUCUCCUCCCCGCCCCCAGGCAACCGUCGUACUUCUACGCCACCGAGUCAGCGGCGGCGCCGGCGGCGCGGCCACCAAAGGUGCCGCGGCCACUGAGGACGGCGGGGAGCCUGCUGAGGCUGAACGACAUCCGCGAUAACCCCGGCGCGACGCAGCAGAAGACGCGCAAGGGCCGCGGGAUCGGCUCCGGGAAGGGCAAGACGGCGGGGCGCGGGCACAAGGGCCAGAAGGCGCGCGGCACCGCUCGCUUCGGCUUCGAGGGCGGCCAGACCCCGCUGCGCCGCCGUCUCCCCCGCCGCGGCUUCAAGAACCGCUUCUCACUCACGUUCCAGCCCUGUGGACUGGGGAAAAUUGCGAAGCUCAUCAAUGCUGGAAAAAUUGAUUCCUCUGAAUUGAUCACAAUGAAGACCCUGAAGGAUACAAGUGCCAUUGGGAAACAAAUAAAGGAUGGGAUUCGGUUAAUGGGUCGUGGUGCAGAAGAAAUCAAAUGGCCAAUUCAUCUCGAGGUAUCAAGGGCGACUGCAAGGGCGAAAGCUGCAGUUGAAGCAGCAGGUGGAACUGUAAGAUUGGUGUACUACAACAAGCUUGGGUUCAGGGCACUUCUCAAACCUGAGUGGUUUGCAAAGAAGGGCCGCCUUAUACCAAAAGUGGCGAGGCCUCCACCCAAGCAACGAGACAAGGUUGAUAGCAUUGGCCGACUACCUGCUCCCACAAAGCCACUUCCCUUCACAUCGGAGGAAUUAGAGUUUACUGCCAAGCGUGAAGCUGCUAAAGUGAUCGCUGCAUAG